ACUUUUCCCUGCGCCUGUUGUUUCUUCCUCUGUUCUUCUUUUCUGCAACCUGCUGCAGCUUCAUGCUGUUAUGAAGCUUAAACUCUUUCAAGAACACGAACUUUAGCAUAUAGUAACUGCAGAAAUGGUUAUGAAAAAGUGUACUGAUAUGAAAAUAUUACUUUAGCAUUUAAAUUGCAAUGGAAUUUCCUUCAUGUAUUACAACUCAUAAAGAGGGGAUUGUGUUCUAGAAUUGCAAUGAAACCUAGUUUGUCUGGUUAGCCAUUUUAUACGUAACACUUCAAGUUUUAAGUGGCACAUUCUGUUUGACGGGUUCUUGUUCCUUGCUCUAAAUCCUCCGCAAUCACACAGGUAUAUCUUUCAGCAAAUAUUUUUAUCUCCAUUCUUUCUGGUUUUGGAGCAUGCAUCACACUCUUUGACAUAAUUAUGAUUUUGAGGAGAAGACUACAUGUGCAAUCCAUUCUAUUUCAUGAAUGGCUGUAUACAUGCUCAUAGUUCCCAGUCUGGGUGCCUAUUCUGAUUGAUUCAAGGUGUGGAACUUGGUCGGAUGUCUUGUUUGGAUCAUAAAACUUCUCCUCUUGAUACCUUGACUUGAAAUAGUUUUUUCUUCGCCUCAGGUUGUAAGAUGGAUUAAGGAGAUCUCUGGGGCUAUCACUGACAUCAUAUUUGGAAUAUUAAUAAACAUAAUCAGAAUGAAGGUUGCAUCUUACAGAAAUAGUUCAAUGGUGGACUCGCUUCCCCCUACCAAAGGGAAACUGAAGAACGUCAAUUUAGGGAUUCAUUGUUAGCAACAUUUAUUGUCUCCUUUGUCGCGGUGAUGGCAAUUGUUGGAACGCACUGACAUCUCCCUGUCGGUCUAGGUACACCUGGGCUGGUUGGGCUGGCUCUUUCUUAUGCUUCCCCAAUUGUAUCAUUGUUGGGAAGCUUCUUGACAAGCUUCACUGAAACGGAGAAGGAGAUGGUUGCGGUCGAGAGGGUUCUUCAGGUACUCUACUUGGGCGAGUGCACUGCAAAUGCGGAGCGCUUUCAAGUGAAUAUCGAGGCAGAACUAUUAUCACAAUCGCCCAUCGCAUUUCCACCGUUUUAGUCAUGGACCAUAUCUUCAAUUUGGAUCAAGGGAUUCUGGGCCUUGGCAGGUGAUGUUCAAGCAAGCAGAUGGUUCUUAUGCUUGUGUAGCAGAGAGCACUACUCGUUUGACUCCGGUGAAGUAAAUAUACUUCUGCCAUCACAACCAGUUACAGUUUCUGCUGAGUAAUGUGCGUGCAGAAGAAACCUUACCAACUUUGGUCACUUUGAUAUGCUAGACUAAGGAAGAACUGCUGAGGGUCCUAGGACUGCAGGAGGAAGAAGGAAGGGUCCUUCGAAGAGGCUACAAGAGCGCCACUUGGUGGGAAGAAGAUGUAGAUACAGAACUAUCUUCCACAUGGCGUAGUUGAACAUCGGAGCUAUAAAUAUUAGAAAUGCAGAAAUACGCAGAAACCAGAAGAAAGUAACGACGUCGAACUGCACAUGGAAAGUUACAAGAAGAUCCAUCAGCAAGAGGAUAACAAGAAAGGGAGAAAACAAUAUUGAAUUUGUUACUAGAUGUAUGUUUCUGGAUCUCUUUGAACCUUUGUUUCUUCAUAUAUAUUCUGCGCAGGAUGGGGAUACUGCAAGUUUUAGUUUCAGAGUUGCAAGUCAGCAGUUUUUCUACUUGAGAAAUGAGCAAGAGUUGGAGUUUCAAGUAUAGUGUUUUACUGCUGAUUACUACUUAUCGUACCUACCAAGAUUUCUUGAAGGUGUAUUCUUACAGUAUGUAUCAAUCAUUCAACUAUCCGUAUUGGCAUUGCCCCAUCACC